rnacentral:rRNA from 1 species
AGUUUGAUCCUGGCUCAGGAUGAACGCUGGCGGUAUGCUUAACACAUGCAAGUCGAACGAUGUGGGGACGUAGCAAUGCUACGUCUGUGCAUAGUGGCGGACGGGUGAGUAACGCGUGAGAAUCUAGCUUCAGGUUCGGGACAACAUUGGGAAACCGAUGCUAAUACCGGAUGUGCCGAGAGGUGAAAGGCUAGCCGCCUGAAGAAGAGCUCGCGUCUGAUUAGCUAGUUGGUGGUGUAAGGGACUACCAAGGCGACGAUCAGUAGCUGGUCUGAGAGGAUGAUCAGCCACACUGGAACUGAGACACGGUCCAGACUCCUACGGGAGGCAGCAGUGGGGAAUUUUCCGCAAUGGGCGAAAGCUGACGGAGCAAUACCGCGUGAGGGAGGAAGGCUCUUGGGUUGUAAACCUCUUUUCUCAAGGAAGAAGUUCUGACGGUACUUGAGGAAUCAGCAUCGGCUAACUCGUGCCAGCAGCCGCGGUAAUACGGGGGAUGCAAGCGUUAUCCGGAAUGAUUGGGCGUAAGCGUCGCAGGUGGUU